GUCAAUAGUCCCAGUUCCCUUAUUUUCUCGGCAUACUCUUCUUUUUUAUCUAUACAUACUUGUCCUCCAAAGACCGCUGCCAAAUAGAUUUCAUCAUUGUUGGGAGAAAAAUUACAUACAAUUGCCAUGCCUGUAAGAAACGUGUUGUCUAUUUCUUGUCAGAGGCAGUGUAUGACAGCGCUGCCAAUGAAACUUCAAGUCAUUUUAUUCGGGUUCAGCAAAACCCCGAUUGCAAGUGGAAAAUGGAGGAUCCGACCGGGAUCAAUCGGUAGAAGUUCGUAAGAAAAUCCACCCGCAUUUAUGGGAUAAGGCUCCAAGAAGAAAUUGUGUAGGGUUCGACGUGCAAAUAAGAAAGGAACUAUGGUGAUUGAUGUGGGGAAUGCAGGGAGGAUGGAGUUAUUGAAUUGUAGUUAUAGAUCCUUUACAUCAAUUCAUCAUUCUUAACUCAAUCCCUUGGUAUAUGCAUUUUUUUCUUCUACUUUAUAUAUAAUCAUUUACUUUCUGCGUUUC